CUUUCCUUACCUUUAUCCUUGUAAUAGGAACUUGAGGGACCUCUCCUUUGAUGAAAGGACUUCUUUCGGUUGAUGAAUUUUCUGAACUUACGUACGAGAAGAGCCUCAUCAUCAUCUUCCUCAUGAUCUUCUUCUUCACUGCUGCUACUGCAAGAUAAAUCCUUGUUAGAAGAAGUAGAUUUGAGAGCUAUUACCUUUUUCUUAUGAGAGGAUUCUUCUUCGCUGUGUUGUUUCAUUGUGAGCUCGUGCGUCAUUAGGGAUCCAAGAAGCUCCUCAAGUGGAAGCUUGUUCAAGUCCUUGGCUUCUUGGAUUGCCGUCACUUUGGC
rnacentral:lncRNA from 1 species